rnacentral:rRNA from 1 species
UACAGAGGGCUCAAGCGUUGUUCGGAUUUAUUGGGCGUAAAGGGUGUGUAGGUGGCGCGCUAAGUCGGGUGUGAAAUUUCGGAGCUUAACUCCGAAACUGCAUUCGAUACUGGCGUGCUUGAGGACUGGAGAGGAGACUGGAAUUCAUGGUGUAGCAGUGAAAUGCGUAGAGAUCAUGAGGAAGACCAGUGGCGAAGGCGGGUCUCUGGACAGUUCCUGACACUGAGACACGAAGGCCAGGGGAGCAAACGGG